UAAUUUUGAGUGUGACCUGCCCAGUGAAAUUUAAUAAAAUUAUAAAUAAUUUGUGAAAAUAUUAAACGGACGCGGUAACUCUGACCGUGAUAAUGUAGCAUAAUCAUUUGCUUCUUAAUUAGAGGAUAGUAUGAAUGGUUAAACGAAUAUUCCACUUUUUUAGUAAAAAAUUUUUAAAAUUGAAAUAAUAGUUAAGAUGCUAUUUAAAAUUGUAAGACGAAAAGACCCUGUAGAGCUUUACUAUAUUCUUUUUUUUUAUAGGGAAUGUUAGUUUAAUUGGGGCGAUUAUUUUUUAAAAAAACCGAAAAUAAGUAAAAUUAAUAUUUAAUUUAUUGUAUAAUUAAUAAAUUUAACAGUUAUAAAAGUAGGCUAUAAUGACCCAUUAAUAUUAUAAAUUAAAUUAAUGAUCAAUAAAUAAAAGUUACCUCAGGGAUAACAGGAUAAUUUUGUAUUAGAGUUCUUAUCGUAUACAAAGUU
rnacentral:rRNA from 1 species